rnacentral:rRNA from 1 species
GCGCGCAGGUGGUUUCUUAAGUCUGAUGUGAAAGCCCACGGCUCAACCGUGGAGGGUCAUUGGAAACUGGGGAACUUGAGUGCAGAAGAGGAAAGUGGAAUUCCAAGUGUAGCGGUGAAAUGCGUAGAGAUUUGGAGGAACACCAGUGGCGAAGGCGACUUUCUGGUCUGUAACUGACACUGAGGCGCGAAAGCGUGGGGAGCGAACAGGAUUAGAUACCCUGGUAGUCCACGCCGUAAACGAUGAGUGCUAAGUGUUAGAGGGUUUCCGCCCUUUAGUGCUGCAGCUAACGCAUUAAGCACUCCGCCUGGGGAGUACGGUCGCAAGACUGAAACUCAAAGGAAUUGACGGGGGCCCGCACAAGCGGUGGAGCAUGUGGUUUAAUUCGAAGCAACGCGAAGAACCUUACCAGGUCUUGACAUCCCACUGACCGGUAUAGAGAUAUACCUUUCCCUUCGGGGACAGUGGUGACAGGUGGUGCAUGGUUGUCGUCAGCUCGUGUCGUGAGAUGUUGGGUUAAGUCCCGCAACGAGCGCAACCCUUGAUCUUAGUU